GGCGGACGGGUGAGUAAUACAUGGGAAUCUGCCCUUAGGUGGGGGAUAACGUUGGGAAACUAACGCUAAUACCGCAUAAUCUCUUCGGAGCAAAGCGUGGGAUCUUCGGACCACGUGCCAAAGGAUGAGCCCAUGUCUGAUUAGCUAGUUGGUGAGGUAAUGGCUCACCAAGGCGACGAUCAGUAGCCGGCCUGAGAGGGUGGACGGCCACACUGGGACUGAGACACGGCCCAGACUCCUACGGGAGGCAGCAGUGGGGAAUAUUGGACAAUGGGGGCAACCCUGAUCCAGCAAUGCCGCGUGUGUGAAGAAGGCCUGCGGGUUGUAAAGCACUUUUGUUGAGGAAGAAUGUGUUUGGGCUAAUAGUCCAAAUGCUUGACGUUACUCAAAGAAAAAGCACCGGCUAACUCCGUGCCAGCAGCCGCGGUAAU
rnacentral:rRNA from 1 species